rnacentral:rRNA from 1 species
AUUGAACGCUGGCGGCAGGCCUAACACAUGCAAGUCGAACGGUAACAGGAAACAGCUUGCUGUUUCGCUGACGAGUGGCGGACGGGUGAGUAAUGUCUGGGAAACUGCCUGAUGGAGGGGGAUAACUACUGGAAACGGUAGCUAAUACCGCAUAACGUCGCAAGACCAAAGAGGGGGACCUUCGGGCCUCUUGCCAUCGGAUGUGCCCAGAUGGGAUUAGCUAGUAGGUGGGGUAACGGCUCACCUAGGCGACGAUCCCUAGCUGGUCUGAGAGGAUGACCAGCCACACUGGAACUGAGACACGGUCCAGACUCCUACGGGAGGCAGCAGUGGGGAAUAUUGCACAAUGGGCGCAAGCCUGAUGCAGCCAUGCCGCGUGUAUGAAGAAGGCCUUCGGGUUGUAAAGUACUUUCAGCGGGGAGGAAGGGAGUAAAGUUAAUACCUUUACUCAUUGACGUUACCCGCAGAAGAAGCACCGGCUAACUCCGUA